rnacentral:rRNA from 1 species
GAUCUGGCUCAGGAUGAACGCUGGCGGCGUGCUUAACACAUGCAAGUCGAACGAAGCACUCUAUUUGAUUUUCUUCGGAAAUGAAGAUUUUGUGACUGAGUGGCGGACGGGUGAGUAACGCGUGGGUAACCUGCCUCAUACAGGGGGAUAACAGUUGGAAACGACUGCUAAUACCGCAUAAGCGCACAGGAUCGCAUGAUCCGGUGCGAAAAACUCCGGUGGUAUGGGAUGGACCCGCGUCG